CCUACGGGAGGCUGCAGUGAGGAAUAUUGGUCAAUGGGCGCAAGCCUGAACCAGCCAUGCCGCGUGCAGGAUGACGGUCCUAUGGAUUGUAAACUGCUUUUAUACGAGAAGAAACACUCCUUCGUGAAGGAGCUUGACGGUAUCGUAAGAAUAAGGAUCGGCUAACUCCGUGCCAGCAGCCGCGGUAAUACGGAGGAUCCAAGCGUUAUCCGGAAUCAUUGGGUUUAAAGGGUCCGUAGGCGGUUAGAUAAGUCAGUGGUGAAAGCCCAUCGCUCAACGGUGGAACGGCCAUUGAUACUGUUUAACUUGAAUUAUUAGGAAGUAACUAGAAUAUGUAGUGUAGCGGUGAAAUGCUUAGAGAUUACAUGGAAUACCAAUUGCGAAGGCAGGUUACUACUAAUGGAUUGACGCUGAUGGACGAAAGCGUGGGUAGCGAACAGGAUUAGAUACCCCAGUAGUC
rnacentral:rRNA from 1 species